GUGAAAUCCGCCAUUCAGCAAGUGCUGUUUCAUCUUUUGCUUUUUCUGUUAAGUCUUUGUAUUCUUCCAGAGUAAGUUGAACAGUACUGCUAUUGUCUGUUCUUGAAUUGUUGACAACUCCAAGUGCUUCUGCUUCUGAUGCUCCAAAAGCUUCCAAUUCCAUCUCUACAGCUUGGAGUUUGAGUUGUAAUGUUCUUAGAUUCUGCUUCCUCAUCCGCAGGACUUGUUUCAGUUUCGAUCUCGCUCUUCGUUCUUCCUCCGUGUCCCGUUUGUUCAUCGAUGGUCUUCU
rnacentral:misc_RNA from 1 species